CAAGAUUAAUCUAUAAACAUUUAAUUAGAUAUAUAAGGAUAACAGGGAAAUAACUUAUUAUCAAAAUUAAAAGUGACAUAUGUACAGAGAUGCAAACCUGCAGGAAAACUGCGCAAAGUUCCUUCUUCAGUCUCAAUUUAUUCCGGCAAAGGAUGAGACUAAUGACCACCCAACAGGUCUACGAGCCAGACCAACUCCCACUGCUGCAGACAAAAUCUACUGUCUUUCUUUCAUCCUUGCCCAAUAGCAAAUGAUAAACUGGUAUGCAAUUACAUGCAAUACAUAUAGAAAUAGUUAUAGACAAUCAUCUUUUCCCUGGAAACAUACAUUUCAGAAACUCAGCCUCCUGAAGAGGAGUGAAUACCACCAGAAAACAAGCAAGAUAUAAGGAUCUGAUUUCUGCUUAUACAGGUGAUUCCCAUUAUUUAAAAGAGAUUCAAGCUUAAGCAUGUUUAUUUCUAUUUAUAAAAGGUCACUGCCCUGACUGGGACAAUGUUAUGAUUAUAGAUAUUGCUUACUAGA